UACGAAGGUGGCGAGCGUUGUUCGGAAUCACUGGGCAUAAAGCGCACGUAGGCGGUGACGUAAGUCGGGUGUGAAAUCCCUCGGCCUAACCGAGGAACUGCGCCCGAUACUGCGUUGCUUGAGGACCAGAGGGGUGCAUGGAAUUUCCGGUGGAGCGGUGAAAUGCGUUGAUAUCGGAAGGAACUCCGGCGGCGAAAGCGAUGCACUGGCUGGUUUCUGACGCUGAGGUGCGAAAGCCAGGGGAGCAAACGGG
rnacentral:rRNA from 1 species